rnacentral:rRNA from 1 species
GGCACGUGGAACCUUGUCUGAAUCUGGGGGGGACCACCCUCCAAGGCUAAGUACUCCCUAGUGACCGAUAGUGAACAAGUACCGUGAGGGAAAGGUGAAAAGCACCCCAGCGAGGGGAGUGAAAAGUCCCUGAAACCGAAAGUCUACAAGCAGUGGAAGCACCAUGGCGCAAGCCGGUGCGACUGCGUACCUUUUACAUAAUGGAUCGGCGAGUUACCCUAUGUGGCAAGCUUAAGACCGAAAGGCGUAGGCGAAGCGAAAGCGAGUCUGAACAGGGCGUUCAGUCGCAUGGGGUAGACCCGAAACGGUGUGAUCUACCCAUGGUCAGGUUGAAGCGCGGGUAAAACCGCGUGGAGGACCGAACUCACCGGUGUUGAAAACUGGGGGAUGAACUGUGGGUAGGGGGUGAAAGGGCCAAUCAAACACCGAAAUGGCUGGUUCUCCCCGAAAUAUAUCUAGGUAUAGCGUCGCGUAUGACCUCGGGAGGUAGAGCACUGAAUGGGCUAGGGGGUCUCACCAGAUUACCAAACCCAAUCAACUCCGAAU